rnacentral:rRNA from 1 species
UGGGGAAUUUUGCGCAAUGGGCGAGAGCCUGACGCAGCAACGCCGCGUGAGCGAUGAAGGNCUUCGGGUCGUAAAGCUCUGUCGGGUGGGAAGAACAAAAUGACGGUACCACCAACUGAAGCCCCGGCUAACUGUGUGCCAGCAGCCGCGGUAACACGGAGGGGGCGAGCGUUGUUCGGAAUCAUUGGGCGUAAAGCGUAUGUAGGUGGCCGGAUAAGUCCUACGUGUAGCCCCACGGCUCAACCGUGCUAUUGCGUUUGAUGCUAUUCGGCUUGAGUGCAGAAGAGGAAAGCGGAAUUUCCAGUGUAGCGGUGAAAUGCGUUGAUAUUGGGAAGAACACCAGUGGCGAAGGCGGCUUUCUGGUCUCGAACUGACACUGCUGUACGAAAGCCAGGACAGCGAACGUCAUUAGAUAGUCCUGGGAGUCCAGGCUGUAUACGAUGGGCAGAAGGUGUAGGAGGGGUUGAUCCCUUCUGUGCCGUAGCUAACGCAUUAAGUGCUGCGCCUCGGGAGUACGGUCGCAAGGCUGAAACUCGAGGUAUUGACG